CACUUCUAGAACCGGUGAGGUACACCCUUCCGGAACCGGUGAGGUAUACCCUCCUUCCGGAACCAGUGGGGUAUACCCUCGUUCCGGAACCAGUGGGGUAUACCCUCGUUCCGGAACCGGUGAGGUAUACCCUCCUUUCUGAACCGGUGAGGUAUACCCUCCUUCCGGAACCAGUGAGGCAUACUCUUCUUAUAGAACCGUUGCGGUAUACUCUCAUAUAGAACCGUUGAGGUAUACCCUCCAUAUAGAACCGGUGAGGUAUACACUCUUUCUAGGACUGGUGAGGUAUAUUCUUCAAGAACCGGUGAAGUAUACCCUCCUUCUAGGACCGGUGAGGUAUACCCUCCUUCUAGGACCGGUGAGGUACACCUUUCUUCUAGAACCAAUGAGGUAUAUCCUGCUUACAGAACUAGUGAGGUAUAGCCUGCUUCUAGGACCAAUGAUGUAUACACUCCUAGAACCAGUGGGGUAUACACUUCUAUAACCGGUUAGGUAUACUCUUCUAGAACUGGUGAGGUAUACCCUUCUCGAAAUGGUGAGUUAUACCCUCCUAUAACCGGUGAGGUAUUCCCUACUUCUAGAAGCGGUGAGGUAUACGCUUCUAGAACCGAUGAGGUAUACACACUUCUAGAACUGGUGAGGUAUACCCUCAUUCUAGAACCGGUGAGGUAUACCCUCAUUCUAGAACCGGUGAGGUAUACCCUCCUUCUAGAACCGGUGAGGUAUACCCUCCUUCUAGAACUGGUGAUGUAUACAC
rnacentral:lncRNA from 13 species